rnacentral:rRNA from 1 species
UUGAACGCUGGCGGCAGGCCUAACACAUGCAAGUCGAACGGUAACAGGAAACAGCUUGCUGUUUCGCUGACGAGUGGCGGACGGGUGAGUAAUGUCUGGGAAACUGCCUGAUGGAGGGGGAUAACUACUGGAAACGGUAGCUAAUACCGCAUAAUGUCGCAAGACCAAAGAGGGGGACCUUCGGGCCUCUUGCCAUCGGAUGUGCCCAGAUGGGAUUAGCUAGUAGGUGGGGUAACGGCUCACCUAGGCGACGAUCCCUAGCUGGUCUGAGAGGAUGACCAGCCACACUGGAACUGAGACACGGUCCAGACUCCUACGGGAGGCAGCAGUGGGGAAUAUUGCACAAUGGGCGCAAGCCUGAUGCAGCCAUGCCGCGUGUAUGAAGAAGGCCUUCGGGUUGUAAAGUACUUUCAGCGGGGAGGAAGGGAGUAAAGUUAAUACCUUUGCUCAUUGACGUUACCCGCAGAAGAAGCACCGGCUAACUCCGUGCCAGCAGCCGCGGUAAUACGGAGGGUGCAAGCGUUAAUCGGAAUUACUGGGCGUAAAGCGCACGCAGGCGGUUUGUUAAGUCAGAUGUGAAAUCCCCGGGCUCAACCUGGGAACUGCAUCUGAUACUGGCAAGCUUGAGUCUCGUAGAGGGGGGUAGAAUUCCAGGUGUAGCGGUGAAAUGCGUAGAGAUCUGGAGGAAUACCGGUGGCGAAGGCGGCCCCCUGGACGAAGACUGACGCUCAGGUGCGAAAGCGUGGGGAGCAAACAGGAUUAGAUACCCUGGUAGUCCACGCCGUAAACGAUGUCGACUUGGAGGUUGUGCCCUUGAGGCGUGGCUUCCGGAGCUAACGCGUUAAGUCGACCGCCUGGGGAGUACGGCCGCAAGGUUAAAACUCAAAUGAAUUGACGGGGGCCCGCACAAGCGGUGGAGCAUGUGGUUUAAUUCGAUGCAACGCGAAGAACCUUACCUGGUCUUGACAUCCACAGAACUUUCCAGAGAUGGAUUGGUGCCUUCGGGAACUGUGAGACAGGUGCUGCAUGGCUGUCGUCAGCUCGUGUUGUGAAAUGUUGGGUUAAGUCCCGCAACGAGCGCAACCCUUAUCCUUUGUUGCCAGCGGUCCGGCCGGGAACUCAAAGGAGACUGCCAGUGAUAAACUGGAGGAAGGUGGGGAUGACGUCAAAUCAUCAUGCCCCUUAUGAUUUGGGCUACACACGUGCUACAAUGGCGCAUACAAAGAGAAGCGACCUCGCGAGAGCAAGCGGACCUCAUAAAGUGCGUCGUAGUCCGGAUUGGAGUCUGCAACUCGACUCCAUGAAGUCGGAAUCGCUAGUAAUCGUGGAUCAGAAUGCCACGGUGAAUACGUUCCCGGGCCUUGUACACACCGCCCGUCACACCAUGGGAGUGGGUUGCAAAAGAAGUAGGUAGCUUAACCUUCGGGAGGGCGCUUACCACUUUGUGAUUCAUGACUGGGGUG